AUUGAACGCUGGCGGCAGGCCUAACACAUGCAAGUCGGACAGUAGCACAGAGAGCUUGCUCUUGGGUGACGAGUGGCGGACGGGUGAGUAAUGUCUGGGGAUCUGCCCGAUAGAGGGGGAUAACCACUGGAAACGGUGGCUAAUACCGCAUAACGUCGCAAGACCAAAGAGGGGGACCUUCGGGCCUCUCACUAUCGGAUGAACCCAGAUGGGAUUAGCUGGUAGGCGGGGUAAUGGCCCACCUAGGCGACGAUCCCUAGCUGGUCUGAGAGGAUGACCAGCCACACUGGAACUGAGACACGGUCCAGACUCCUACGGGAGGCAGCAGUGGGGAAUAUUGCACAAUGGGCGCAAGCCUGAUGCAGCCAUGCCGCGUGUAUGAAGAAGGCCUUCGGGUUGUAAAGUACUUUCAGCGGGGAGGAAGGCGAUGCGGUUAAUAACCGCGUCGAUUGACGUUACCCGCAGAAGAAGCACCGGCUAACUCCGUGCCAGCAGCCGCCGUAA
rnacentral:rRNA from 1 species